rnacentral:lncRNA from 1 species
CCUACUCAAGAUGGAGUCGCUCUGGUUUGAACGCCUCUGACACUUCCACUCUCAAGGAAUGGUGUUUUUAUUCUCUUCUCCCCAGAAUGUACUUCUGGUCUGUCCCGCUGUUCCAUUCCACAGCAUUUUAGGAGGUUCUCAAGAGUGUCCUAAACAAGCAGAGAAGAAUGGUGAGACUUACCCAUUCCUAGUUUAAGAAAUGAGUGAAAUGGGGUCUGAGUUAUAUCACAGCUACAGUUUAGACUCCUGUGGUACAGUUGGCUUUCCCAGGGUCCCGGCGUCCAUGCUGUCUCGGCGCUAUCUCGCAGCCUGACGCCACGCGCCAUCUGCUGGCCUUGAGCUGUAUAGCUCUAGAGUAACUUCAGAGGCCACGGGGGAACAAAGAGCACUCGCCUCCUUGACUGAGCUCCGACAGGCCGUCCCUCUGCUUCAGGUGUAGGCGUGCACAAGUCCAGACCACUACCUUAACAGUAACAAGUACUUGACACAUGUCCUUGGUCUAGAAAGGAUGGAGGAGCCACAGACAGCUGAGGUGCAGGCUCCAGCUCAAUGGCCUGUCAUUACAAGAGGCUCUUGGAGUUUCUGAUCUUCUUCGCCUCUCUCUAUGCCCAACCCUGUCUAGAGUGCACCUCAGCAUGAUUUUAGAAAACAGCAUGGAGAAAGAGAAGUUGAGGCCAGUCUUUCUCCUCCAAUCACCAAGUAUCUAUUAAAAGCCAUUCCCUCCA